ensembl:lncRNA
UGUAUUAAAUAUCUGCACAACUUCACCUCUUAAGACUCCAGAAUAGUUAACAUUUCAAAAACUUCCAGCAUUUUAUAUUUUUGAAAUCGUUUUAAAAGUGUCAACGUUUCCAUUAACUGGAGGGGGAAAUGGUACAUUUCAAUCCAUUUUGCACUCAGUAUUCUUCUUCUUUUCAUUACUGAGCUCUCAACAGAAUAAAAGAUUCAGCCGAGCCGUCUCCGCGCGUGCGAACUGUCAAUCAAAUGCCAGUCGCAGCAGAAGAAAAUCCGAGGACACCGUCAAACAGGAAUGUUGCAUUUGAUGUAUUUAAAGAAGACACGUGAAAGACGUGAAACAUGAUCACACGAAACACCUAAAAGUCUAUUUUUUAGAUUAAACUUUAUUCAGUUGCUUUAACAGAAUGCACGUACAACAGAAUGUUUUGACCGUUUAAUAGUGUUUCCAUAGCAACUUACUUUUCACUUGAUGUUAUCACUGUAGUUGCCUGAAAUUGUGAUUGAUUGGCAGUGUGAUUCCGUUUGAGUCAUUCUAAAGCACUUUGCAGAGUGCAGAGCUCCAUCAAAGCGUAAAAACGUGUAAUCCAACAUUCAUUUUUCUCACGGAGACAAAUGAGAAAUGAUCCGCACGAAGGAUUUUUGGUGCAGAAAAACCAAUUAUGUCUAAUUACAGGAAAAAUGGGUGAUGAGAUAAGGAGGCGGGGGAGCAGCGAGCAGAGAUAACAGCUUGGGGGAGGAAAGGGGGGGUGGGGGGCAUUUCUACAGUCCAACACUGCAUCGGAACACUUUCAUCUUUAUGUGAAAUGUAUUAGUAAGCUAUAUUUUUCCAUCCCCUCGGGUGGAAAAGGCGCAAGAGCAUUUUUUUUUAGAGACUAGUGGAAUGUCAAGGCAAUAAAACAUGAGCGCUCAUAAUGAACCUUUUUAUUACUGCUUUUACCCAAAAGCAAAACUACAGCAAUAAAAAAAGGCAGCCCAUGCGCAGAGUGGGAGGCUUUGUGCAAAUGGUAAAAAAAACCCUCCUGUAGUCAUUCUGAAUAUUCACAAAGCCCCUGUUCACUGAUGGCUUCAAGUGGGAACCUGAGAACAGUUUUAUGAUGAAGGAUUCUGCGGGUUUGAGGCUUCCAGCAGGUAUUUAUUUUAAUUUGGACAAAGUAUUGCCAAGAACGCUUUGUGUGACCAUCGACCAUAAUGACCACCAUCAUCAUGACCAUACUCAUAAUGACCAUGCUGAUCAUGACCAUUCUCAUCAUGACCAUCAUCAUAAUGACCAUCCUCAUCAUGACCAUCAUCAUAAUGACCAUCCUCACCAUCCUCAUAAUGACCAUCCUCAUCAUGAUCAUUCUCAUCAUGACCAUCAUCAUAAUGACCAUCCUCACUAAUCAUGACCAUCAUCAUCAUGACCAUCAUUAUAAUGACCAUCCUUACCAUCAUGACCAUCCUCACAAUGACCAUCCUCAUCAUGACCAUCCUCAUCAUGACCACCAUCAUCAUGACCAUACUCAUAAUGACCAUCCUGAUCAUGACCAUUCUCAUCAUGACCAUCAUCAUAAUGACCAUCCUCAUCAUGACCAUCCUCAUAAUGACCAUCCUCAUCAUGAUCAUUCUCAUCAUGACCAUCAUCAUAAUGACCAUCCUCACCAAUCAUGACCAUCAUCAUUAUGACCAUCAUUAUAAUGACCAUCCUUACCAUCAUGACCAUCAUCAUCAUGACCAUCCUCACAAUGACCAUCCUCAUCAUGACCAUUCUCAUCAUGACCAUCAUUAUAAUGACCAUCCUCACCAUCAUGACCAUCAUCAUCAUGACCAUCAUUAUAAUGACCAUCCUUACCAUCAUGACCAUCAUCAUCGUGACCAUCCUCACAAUGACCAUCCUCAUCAUGACCAUCAUCAUCAUGACCAUCAUUAUAAUGACCAUCCUCACCAUCAUGACCAUCAUCAUCAUGACCAUCCUCACAUCCUCAUCAUGACCAUCCUUAUCCUCACCAUCCUCAUCAUGCCCAUCAUUAUAAUAACCGUUCCUCACCAUCAUGACCAUCAUCAUCAUGAGCAUUCUCAUCAUGCCCAUCCUUAUCCUCACCAUCCUCAUCAUGACCAUCCUCAUCAUGCCCAUCAUUAUAAUGACCAUCCUCACCAUCAUGACCAUCCUCACAAUGACCAUCCUCAUCAUGACCAUCAUCACCAUGACCAUCCUCAUCAUGACCAUCCUCAUAAUGACCAUCCUAAUCAUGACCAUCAUCAUCAUGACCAUCCUCACCAUCAUCAUGACCAUCCUCACCAUCAUCAUGACCAUCAUGACCAUCCUCACCAUCAUCACGACCAUCCUCAUCAUGACCAUCCUCACCAUCAUCAUGACCAUCCUCACCAUCAUCAUGACCAUCAUGACCAUCCUCACCAUCAUCAUGACCAUCAUGACCAUCACCGUCAUGACCAUCCUCACCAUCAUCAUCCUGACCAUCCUCACCAUCUGCUCCAUGAAGCUGGUCAACAGGUCUUCAUUAUAAACCCGAUCAAAGGCGCACACGUUUCCUGGAUAUCUUCUGUUGGUCUGACACAAGAAGCAAUUUGAAGAAGACUAAUUAUUAAAUAAAGUACAUUUUAUAUUACAAUUAUACAAUAGAACAAAAUAUAUAUUGACAGAUUUAAUAAGGAAAUUAAUUAUCACUUGCAGGCUUUUUUGUUUGCACAAAAUACCAGAACUCGAUUAAUUAUACCAUUAUUUCAUGAAACUAUUACGAACAGUACCUUUCUGACUGGGGUGGAUUAGGGUGACACAACAUGAAAGGACCAUGUGUUCUUCCUGAUACAGAUAUUGAUGAACAGAACACCAGCGGCUUCCCGAUACCGUGUUUUAAACGUCUUAUUAGAUUAAAUAUUGAUGUAACUUACUUGACCUGUCGGCAGAUUGUUGGACACAGAAAUGUUUGAAAGCAGUGUCAUUCUGACACAAUCACUGCUGCAUUGGAAAUAAAAUGAUAAUAAAGCACAAACAACGCCGGUAAGCAGCCGUGAUUGAAGCUCAUUUCACGCCGCUGCAGCUUGAGCCGAGAUGCACGGGGGCAGCACACCUGUCAAUCAAAUCAAAGCCUUUGUGUGGAGGCUCUCUGCACCCAUUACAUUCCUGUCCUGCAUGUGAUUAUCUACACAAAUUGAAUAUUUCAUCUGAUAAAUAUAUGGAGGAAACUGCAGGUUUUUUUCCCCAUUUAAUUGAGAAAGAAAUUAUCUUAUCAAUUAGACAAAUGCACACUUUUUGUGCAAAUAGACCCAAUUUUAUCUAUGAACUUUGAUUACAGCAAUCAAGAUAAUUAUGUAUUGCUCACCACAAUAGAAUAAGUGUGUCAGAGUUUGUCUGACAUCAUCAUCAGCAUCAUCAGAGUGCCUCAAAUCAAGUUGCUUUGGAAUUCACUGAAUAGCAAACCAACAUUUGAGUUCUUCACGUGGGAAACUGUGCUCGGACUUUGCAUGAAGAUAAUUUAGCUGAAUAUAUUGAAUAACAACGGUGACUGACCUCUGAUAAGAGACUUCUGCGUGAAGCACACGGCUGCUCUUAAAACACUACAGACCUCAGCAGAAGCCACAGAGGCGUGAAAGCAUUUCCAUCCCGUGUGUGUGUGUGUGUGUGCGCGCGGAUUUGCCGUUUGCCAGCAGUGUCACCGUGACACCAGCUGAGGGCAGUAGAGCUCUGGUUGGGUUGAUGACGUCAUUCCCUCGUGGCUUGGUAACCCUCCGCUGUGUUGUCCGAGGCCGAAAGAAGUUUGAACCUUCUCCCGCGUUUAAUUAAUGAAGGAUUAGAGGCGACUAAUCCCACCCGUCACACGUGUACGUUUCUGGGUAAGCUCGCUCAUCAGCAAACAUUAAGUAGCCUACAACUUUUUCCAACCAUUUAACGCGAGAGGGAGCUUAGCGGCGUUUCGUGGGAGGGAUCCCAAAAACUGCAACAAAGACAUCGUUCACUGACAUCAGCCGGGAAAUAGUCAGCUUCCAAACCCAGCGUGCGUCUCCACUCCGUUCUCAGAAAAUCCCUUCAGAGGAUCAAAGAAAAAUUCUACCUUUUGCACCAAUUUGACAGUUUACUCCCAAAACGAUCAAACACGGCUGAGAUUCAGAUUAAUGAACCUCAAUUACUGCAGUGGCAGAAGACUGUCAGCGUCACAAAGACGUACUCCUUAAAUCAGCGCGUGACCUGCCUGCGAUGUGUCACCGAGGCCACCGACCCUCCAAAGCUCAAACCAAAAGAGAGGACGGGACUUUUUAUCUGCAGGCCCGAGACGAAGCUGUGCAGCAGGAAUCAUUCCCGCCGAGGUCGAGAUCAAUACAACCUGCCGAGGAAACGCGACAGAUCGCUCACGCUCCGCGUGGGAAUACGCUGUGCAGCAUGUGUUACACGAGCCUUCAGCUGAACCUCCAGGCCCUGCAGACAUUUCGUUUCCUGCUGUGCAUAUGGCUCAUUGUCGGACAGCUCGGCCCGUAUCAAACCGCUUUGUUUCCCUCCAUCUGCCCGAACAACCCUUAAGCUGCGGCAGCAGGCGAUCGUCUCCUCCACCAGCGCGUAUCGGCCCGUCUGUCUGUGCGGGAAGCAAAUCAAGCGGCCAUUGUUGUUGCAUCGUCGUGCAGCUGAGACUGAAAGCCACGUCUGCAGCAGGACGGUAAACGCAUCAGGCGUAAGUACAUCGCAGUUAUGAGAGCAAUCCUCAGCGGAGCUGCAGGAAACAACGUGGCGCAAGGACACUAAAGACCACAGGACGGUGACUUUUACCCAGCAUGCACCACGGGAUGGUUCGUCUUUGUCCUCGCCAAGGACGGAGUCAAAAUAUUUCUACAUUUAAAAAUAGUGGAGCGGCUUGCGGAGGUUUAUCUGCUGACACACUCGUCCUUGGCGGGAAGCUUUACAACUCUCCUCAAAUAGCACUGAAAAUACACGCUGAGGGUUUCAUGCUUUAAGGUGAUUUGACCUUAAAUGUGAAUCCACAUUUCCUUGUAAAUGUUAUCGAAGGGAGACACAAGGCUAAAAAUAUGGAGGCCGAGAAUAAAAAAAAAAAAGGUGGCCGUGUGAGUUUUAUUUUUAUAACAAGUAAUAAAAAGCUGGAUUUGACUUCUGAUGACAUAAUGAAUGCAUGUUGACGGUGGGAUAUCGGGCCAAACCUCUGGGCGGUUUAAUACUUAAAUCACUGAGUCUUGGGGAAUCAAAGGACUCGUCAUGCAGAGAGGAGCGAAAACCUAAAAAAGGGAAGAGGACGACUACAAGGACGAGGAAAGGCGCGGCGGAAAAAAAUGAAAUUUAUUAAGUAAUGGAGUUCUUUUGCGGUUUGGGCGAGGAGUCUAAGUUAACAUUAUCUAGUGUCCUUAAAUAAUAGCCCUAAUUCCCUAACUUGUUAUUGCAUUCAACUUGGUUCAAUCUUGCACAAAAGAAUAAACCUGUUGGGGGGUUCGAGGGAGAUCACGCUCCUUUGUUCUCGUGAUAAUAAUAAUAAUACAAUUACAAAAUGAAAUAUAAUGUGAAGAGUAAAAUAUUUCGCAAAAUAGAAUAGAUUCUAUGAGCAAGUCUAACGCGACGUACCAAAGCAGCUGCAGGAAAACUGUUCCUUAGUCCUUUGAAAACUCCCGGGUGUCUUUUAGCUUUAUUUGAAUGUCAUUGGCUUCUCGUUCAAACGUGUCUCCUCCUGGUUUGUCCCCUUCACGUCCAGGUGUGAAUCUGCUGCUGCAACCUGGAACCUCUCUGUCUUAUCUGUCCCUCACAUUCCAAAGCAUCCAUAGUUUAUAUACUGUAUCCUAUAGCUGGUACGCGUUAAUAACAACACAUCAUAAAUGAUCACUGUUCAUCUUAAGGUUUAACACAGUUCAUGUGGUCCAAUACUCCAGAUAUUUGCCAAGAUCUUGCAUCCAGUUGCUCAUUUCCUACCUGACAGGAGAAAAAAAAACUCUCCUAAAACCCUCUUUGGGGGAAAUCCUUAGAGGACGGCAAUUAGCAUCCGUCCCCAGGUUUUAACAUCACAUCGUGACAUGUUAAUGUGUACAGUGUUUAUAUGACUUACAUGACUAUACAUUUAAUUAUACUGUCAGCGUCAGGAGGCGGGAGCUCUACAGGGGGGGAACGUGGGACCCCCGAGACCAGCCGGCAGUAUUGUGGUGCCACACUCUGCGAUCAGCUCGACUCGCCUGCAAACAGGAAACAAAGUUCUGCUGUGAAUCUUUUGGGUGGGAAAGAGUAAACGCGCCUCCCCCCUUGGGAGGAGAACGCUGUGGAGUCGCCGUGCGCUUCACUGAGCCUGAAACCUGCUUCUGUGCUGCGGGACAAGGGUUUCAGCCCGCGGGGUUCCAGGGCACACGUCCCUCAGAAAGCAAAGAACGACAACGCACGACAUCGGGGUCAUGUAGCGAAGGUCAGUUUCAAAAUAAAGGUCUCAGGUACGGGGGAAAGAAAAAUGAAAGGACGGGGAGAUCUGGCAGCAUUCAAGCCACCCGGGUUCCUCAUCUACAGAAAGCAACAGGAUGGAGAGUUUAAACAGACCACCUUCAAAAUAGAGCAUAGAGACGUUUCUUACAGCUCAAGAAGAGUUAAACAACAGACGAAGGGCACCGACCUGGAUCGAAGCCUUUUGGAGAAACACUCGUUGGAUGACGAGGUUUCAAACAUGGGCGGAAAGACAAAAGGAACCCAAUGCUUUCUAAUCUAAAGUGUGUUUUGGUGAAACUCUCUCUCGUCACAGGCCUCUGCAUAUGCGAUGUUCAAUUGAAUUCAUAAGGGUUGACAAGUCAUUGGUUUCCAUCACAAGAGUCAAAGAAAGAGCAAAUACCUGAGAAGAGGUUUCCUUGUUUAGGCCCUUUGGCCAGGUGUUCCUCUUCUUCUUCUUCCUCAUUACUGCAGGUAAACACAUUGUGAAGCUGCAUAUCGCCACCUGCUGUACAGGGAGUAUGAAACAUUAACCACUCCUUCAUAAUCCAAUCCCCUCCCACUUAGUUUUCCUUUUGAUGCAAGUGAUAUCUUCGUGUUUUUUGAUUCGCUUGCUUUGAUUCUCGAUGAAUUGUGAAACCACCUUCGGAUUUGGACCAAUUAGUGUCUCUGACGGGACGCCGCGGAGCUUCUCCUCCAAACUCGUUUUCUCCUCCCGGUGACCACGAAACAAUCACCUCCAUUGACCCGAGUCAGCGCAGGUCAAGCAGACAGGAGGCGCUGCAGGACACGUCAGUGUUGUUGGGAUUCUUUCGUCCCCAGACUGUCCAAAUACGAUCGCGUGCGUCCUUGUUUUUCGGUCUCUGGCGUCGUUCCUCUGCACCCACAGAGAGGACGUUUCCUUUAGCGCCGUGUGUCUGCGUUUUAUUUUUAUUUAUGGUUCCCUGAAGAGCCCUGUGGAAUUUAGAUGAAAGAAGUUUCCUAUUUUGACUCCAUUUGGAAAAACACGACAGAAGUAGUUUGUGUGAUUGUCUCAACUGGUGAAGACAGCAUGAGGGAAUGUCGAUACGAUAGAGAACGUCUCAGUACCUGUUGCCUCUCUUUGAAUCAUCCAAGUGAGAAAGACUAGUUAAAUCAACUAAUACCUGCGGUGUUUGUGUCCAUGUCAGGUUUAUGUUCAGUUGGAUGUGAUCCUCCGGUUUCUUGCUUGGAUACGACCCAGAAUGCAGCAGUUCUAUUGGCACUAUAAACAGAAAAAGACCCGUGCGCAGGGGGAGCUUGUUAAAUCAAAUGUGCACCAUAAUUUAAACGCGCAUUGGCUGUUUUUUUUAAAGAGGGAAACAGAUUGAAGCUAUAAAUAAAUAAGGGAGACAUUACGUGACACAAGGAGAUGUUUUGUUUCGGCCACGUGGAAAAUAAAGUGUAAACAUGCACUUGAUUUUCAUCCCACACGCUGGCUGCUGCAGCGGGUCAGAUGGAUCUGAGGAGACGACGGGAGGCAACGACGGGGUCACGUUCCUGCAGGGAGUCUGAGCCCGUUGUGUGCAUGACUCCGUAUCCACAGGAGAGGGAGGGAGGGAGUUUGCAGAUUGGUCUCUCUGAUUGCACGAAGGGGAAGAAAAAGCAGCAAAGGGGAGAAGGAGGUGAGACGACGCGGCGCCACUGAGGCCGAAGGUGUAAAGUGGAGGUUGGAAGCUUUCCGGCAUCUCCGCAGGCUUGAGGAUGAAUGCCCAUUGACUUGCAGAGAACCAGGAGGUGGAAAUCAGGGAAUUUCUAUUUGAUGCCGAGAAAGGGGGGAGGGGGGAGAAUAACAGAGAUAAAUGGAGAUCCUCUGGGGAGCCACACGAAGAGAAAAGAAAAACCGCUCCCCUCCUUCACCUUGACAGUCUUUCUUUCAGCUUCCUCCUCCUCUGGCGAGUUUUCUCCUUCUGCCUUUGUCCACCUCCUCACAUCCACCCCCGGGAGACCCGCACACACCCGGCAUUUGUCUUUCUGAGCUCCUCAGAAGAGGGAUCAGCCGCCUGCGACCCCCAGAAGUGGUGCAUGUAAUCCUAGAGGAUCUAUUGGAGAUGCAACGGUUCGUCUUCAGACAUCACAAAAACACAAUGAUUAAAUACAGACCGGUUUACGCAGCUUACGUGAGUUUUUCUUGGUUUUACGGCUUUUAGUUAUUUAUUAUAUCUUCACUGUUUGCUUAUUAAUCUGUUAUUGUUUUGUUUUUCAAUGACGCGUUGUUGCACCAUCCGUAAUAAUACUGCAACUUUCUUCACCUCGGCAGCAAUAAAGGACUAAAUUAUUAACCGUUUGACAUUUAAAGGUUUCUACAAGAUGUGCAGUUUUCUGCGAUCAAACUUUCUGUCCUGUAAACUUCUCAGGGACCUUUAAUGUCAACAUCUCCAGCACAAACACCCAUCCUCUGAAUGCUCUGCAUCUCCAGCUUGUGGUUGUUAAGCUGCGUUUGUCCUAGAGGUCACAACAGGUCACUUUAAAGACAAAUGGUCUCCGUGUGUGAAAUGGCUCCUGUGGUUAAAGAGAGCACAUUUAUAGUUUAUGGUCUUUGCAUGUAAACCACACGGCAUCGGGAUGGAGUCUGUAAAAGGACUCGUGCAUCUACCCAUAAAACCUGUUGUCAUUCAUACAUCUUGAGGCAAGCGUUCGGGGGACCCAUUGGGUUCCUCGCCUCGUUCCUCGCCUCGUUCCUCGCCUCGUUCCUCGCCUUCCUCAAACUCUCAAAAAUCCAUUUUCUAAAGGUUGCUUAGAGCUGUCUGUCGAUGUUUCAGAACAGCACGGGCUCUUAUCUCUGUUUUCAAAAAGAAAAAUUCAUCGAGGAGGAAGAAGUCGAAAGCGCAACCAGUCCGAACCUCAGACACGCAGAUAAACAUCCCGACAGGAGCUGUGCACUCUGCCCUCUCCACGCCGAGUGCACAGUGACGCACUUGAAGGGGGUGAUGGAGGAACAAAAGGACGAGUGACGAGGGGUCACAUGACAGCAGGAAGCAGGGGAGGUGGAGGGCAGAGGAGGAGGAGGGUUCUGUUAUUUACUGUUUUUAUUUAAAUAUGUGAUUUAAAUGAAUUAAAUGCACACACGGUCAAGGUCAAACACACACACUCGAAGGCACAAACAAAUAAUAAAUCCUUCCUCUUCUUUCUAAAUCACUAAUUAUAAUCGGUGUUUUCUUAAAACGAGCAAAGCAGAUCUGUAUAUUUAUUAUGCUAAUACAACCUUAAGAUGGUGCAUUUAUUUUCUACAGCUGCUGCCUUUUUCUGCUGAAUUAGAAACAGAUGUGCUGUGAGCGAAAGAAAAUAUGAGCUUUAUUUAAGUUCAGCGGGAGAUUAACGUAUUAGUCGAAUAAUAGUAAAAAAAAAAAAUUAAAUUACCUCAAUGAAUACUCAACAAAAUGUUUCAAGCAUCCCACAAUGAUUUGUGGCUUACGUUAAUAUAUUUUCUAACACCAUUCAUCCAUAAACGAUUUGCGCGCAGUUUAAUUAUUGGGACAAAUGAAAGGCAAUGUUCCAUUUACAAAAGUCAUUAUUAAUGCACGUCAAUGAGAGUAUUUUGCAGAUAGCAGUCAGACCAGUUUGAUUGAAAGUCUGAUUAAUAAGACUAGAAAUAAUAGAGAGAUAAAUGACGUUUGCUGAUGUGUUCUGUAUCGAGAGGAUGAGUUUUCCCUGUUUUUGACCGAUGGUGUUUUGAAAUUAUCUUUAAGAUAUGAGACAAAACUAGGUUGUAAGUUUAAAUAAAAACAUAAACAUGGACAUUUAACAGUAAAAUUUAAAGUAGAAUAAAUGAAAAUUCUAGCCACUGUGUUUCUACUUUAAUCUCGUUUUAAUGAAAAGUUUGAAAUUAAUGUUUGCUCUCAUUUCAACCCCUUUGUUUUGUUUUUUUCUAACUUUUGAUUUUAUUAUCACACACACAGUCUUUGCGCUAAGCUAAGCUAAGAUAAGCUAAGCUAACCGGCUGUAGCAUCUAAUCCACACAGAUAUGAAAGUGGUCUUUGUCUUCUAAAAAAAACAAUAUUUCCCAUAAUGUUGAACUAUUCCUUUAAGGUUUCCUUGAUCAGUAAGUUGCUGCAACACUACGGAAUUCAUUAUUUUCUACAUGUAUUAGCACUGAAACCCACUUGUACCUUCUUGUCCCAGGACGAGGAUAAUUGUCAUAUUCAUGGCUGUUUGAGCUGAUCCCAAUCAGCGCAUUCCGCACUGAUGACAACGUGUGGGAAAACACUCGGAGCUGAUUGGGAUCACUUCAAGCUGCUCGGACUCAUUUGCACUCAGAGCGGUGAAAAGGCCGAAUCCUGCCGUCGGGGUGAAUAUGGAGCUCGGGAGAUCUGAAAGCGGUGAUUAGGGUCUCUUCUGAAAUUAAAUGUGGGUUUUUAAAAGCCAAGUCGUGUAGACAAACAGGUGUCAAGAUCGCACAAUGUCACCUUUCAAUACGCCGGUUGAACCCCUCAAAAACCCUCAAAAAGACUCAUUUUAACACAAUUUCUGACAUGAUUACCAAGUAUAAUUAUUAUCACUUUCCUUCUUGAAUCCUGGAAGUUUUGGGGACUGGCGAAGAUUUUUUUGAAAUAACAUAUUUUCCCACAGAUGGCGAAGUGAUUACAUGGGCUCUGAUCAGUUAUGUGUGGGUGCGCUCGGGAGUCUCGGCCGAUGGAUUGCGAUGGUUUUGUUUCCUCGCAGACGCGAUAGAUCACCCGUGAGCCGGCAGAGACGCGCAGACGGGGUCGCGUCGGGCCGCCCCGGGGACGACGCGGUAAACGAGCUCCGAGCCAGCGGCCUUCUGGGAAGACGCCGCCGGCUGAGAAGAAGCGAGCAUUCAGGUGCGUGAAUGAAGGCAGCUGGGGAUUUAACUGCAGUGAGGAAUAUAAAAGUUAAUCACACCGUGGAAGGAGUGGAAAAGCAGCAGACGUUGGAAACAGAAAGAUAACCGCUGCUGUUGAGGGGAAAUAAAAAGCAGCUGCAUAAUCACUUCUUUUUUAGUGUCUGGCUGCAGAGUUACGAGAAGGUCGAAGGAUCUGAGCAGAAAAGAGCCACCGUGAGGCUCCGGGGAAAUCAACCUCAUGAAACGUUCUCACCCGAUAAACAGGCCGCGGUGAUCGCCGUUCAUCUUUCUUUCCCUGAAAGCUGCUCGGAAUCAUUGACUUCCUUUUUCAAAGAUCCACACCACGAUUUGCUCCUUGAUUCCCGUUUCGCAGGUUGAUUCUAUUUCAAAUGAAAAUGCGCAUCAGGAGAUCGUGGGCGAGUCGCACAAAAGGACCCGGUUGAGGAAGAGGAGGAAGAGAUGCGACAUCCAGAAGGUAACCCGGAGGUGAGAGUUCGGGGGGGGGGUCCGCUCCAGCCGAUGGCUAACGAGCAGCAGGUGUGUGAGAAGGAGGAGGUACAUGCACAGCAGCUGGGAUCAGAAUAACGUCUGGAAUCGUGCAGGAUGCUUGUUCGAUUUCUCACGAGCGGCAGCCGGUGCCGCCGAUGGCUUCCCUCUCGGAGGAGUCGGCCAUGUGGCCACGUGCGGUUCGUCUUUGGUCGGGCAGGCGUGGCCCCAAACAGCUGCAUGUGCGUUGCUUGACGGGCCGGCGUCGUCCUUCGGUGCUCGUACGAAUCCCCCCCCCCCAGACGAACCAAAAGUAAAGAAAACGUCUUCUUCCCGUCAAAGUCGAUCUUCCCAACCGAUGCUCCGUUGGGCGGGAACCUGAAGGGGAUUUGCCGUCUUCUGUGUUCUUCUGGAAAUCAAAUCGUCCAAAAUUUCACUUUUCUGUCAGCAUCAAACUGUUUUUAAGAGACAGAGGAGCGCCGAGCCGGGCAAACUCUUAUCGGAACCCUGGAGACCGGCGCUGAGAACAAGGCCCGUUGAACACGGAGAGGCGCUUUCGUUCCGUGCAUUCGGCUGAACGCUGAUUGAAGGUGAAAAAAAACAAAACAAAAAAACCCUGCCGGCAGUAACCAGGUUGUUGUUUUCCCCUCCGGAGUCCCCAGAGAUCUGCUGCACCUCUGCGACGACAACAACAAACCCCCCCGAACAGAUGAUCGGAGUGGAGGAGCCGCGUGAACACGAACCGAAUGAAAGGCUGAAUCAUGAAUCAUUUAGAUAUGAACAAAAGGGAAAGCAGAACGUCCUUGGAUGAGAUGCAACAGAGGACGUUACCUUUCGAUCAAAGAUUCAUCGAGCUCUCUUAAUCCACGUGUCGAAAACGUCUUUAUUAAAGCUCGGGUCGACGUCAUGGGAGGAUGAAUGAGGAGCGAGCGGGACUUUUAAAGUGCGCCUGGUUGUGGGGGGAUAAUGAAUGAUAAAUAAAGAUCCUUUCAACUAAUAUAAGCGAUACGUCCUUUAAUGCGAAAACAGUUUAUAUUCUGUUGCAAUUAUUACAGCUUUAACGUUUAUGUCACUUCAGAGACAUGAAUACAAUCCCGCUCAUGUCGUUUCAUGGGAAUAAUACAUUGUGUUGAGGAUUUCCUGCGACAUACAUUCGAGUUGUGUACUUUUUCUACAAAAAAGUAGCUUUAGGUUUGAGAAGGAGGGAAACACGCCACGUCUGGAAGGAGCGCUCAAUCACUUCUCUUUUCCCCUCUCCAGCCUCCAUUUGUCCCCCUGUCUGUGGAGACAAUUCCUCACUGACGUCCACAGAAUUUCAAUCCGGGGAAGCGGGGUCGUAGGUCACAGUGGGGAGACGGGAUGCCUCUUAUUGCCAAAGGCCAUUUCCUCUACUUGUUGGAUAAAAAAGGGAUUUUUUCCCCCAUCUGGUCCGCUGCAGCGCUUAACACACCGCACGAGUCAAUCUCAUUUGCGCUGCCUUUAAUCAAGGUUGCAGUCUCGCUGGGCUUCAACGACGCCUACAUAAUAAAAGAAUAAUUGAGAACAAGGACAAGCUAAAACCAAACUCUGCCCUGUGGGGAAAUUAAACUUGAGCUAAAUACAGAAAACACCGAAAUGAAUAUAUUUGGUUGAUGCAUUAUUCAUGUUCCUUUUAGUAGACAUUUAACUGAGGCUGCGAACGUUUCUCCCGCCUCGCCGGCCUUUUAAAGCGCAGACACUAAUGAGCCACGCGACGCGCGACUGUAAUCUGCUUACGGUCGGCUGUGGCGUCGACGCGUGUAAACGUGUCGAUAAAACGCUUUUCUGAGCGUAUCGUGGGGCACCGAAACCCGCGACAGGCCCCGCUAGAGCGGUCUUUCCGUUCUGACACCCCCCCAGUGGAGCCGGCAAGACCCAGGAAAGAGACGGGGAGCCGGGGGAGGGCGGUGGGAGAUGAGGGUGGCUUAUUUUAACAGGGGGUUUCUUUA